rnacentral:tRNA from 1 species
GGCCCUUUAGCUCAGUGAUUAGAGCAGGCGACUCAUAAUCGCUUGGUCGCUGGUUCAAGUCCAGCAAGGGCCACCA